GACGAACGCUGGCGGCGUGCCUAACACAUGCAAGUCGAGCGGAGAUUGUAGCAAUACAAUCUUAGCGGCGGACGGGUGAGUAACGCGUGGGUAACCUGCCUUAUACAGGGGGAUAACACUGGGAAACUAGUGCUAAUACCGCAUAAAAUUGUUGUCAUGGCAUCAUGAUACAAUCAAAGGAGAAAUCCAGUAUGAGAUGGACCCGCGUCCGAUUAGCUAGUUGGUGGGGUAAAGGCUUACCAAGGCGACGAUCGGUAGCCGAACUGAGAGGUUGAACGGCCACAUUGGGACUGAGACACGGCCCAGACUCCUACGGGAGGAAGCAGUGGGGAAUAUUGCGCAAUGGGGGAAACCCUGACGCAGCAACGCCGCGUGAAGGAAGAAGGCUUUCGGGUUGUAAACUUCUUUGAUUGGGGACGAAAAAAAUGACGGUACCCAAGGAACAAGCCACGGCUAACUACGUGCCAGCCGCCGCGGUAAGAC
rnacentral:rRNA from 1 species